rnacentral:tRNA from 1 species
GCCUGGGUGGCUCAGUUGGUUGAGCAUCCGACUUCAGGUUGGGUCAUGAUCUCACGGUUCGUGGGUUCCAGCCCCGCAUCGGGCU